rnacentral:rRNA from 1 species
UACGGAGGGUGUUAGCGUUGUUCGGAAUUACUGGGCGUAAAGCGCACGUAGGCGGGCUGUUAAGUCGGGGGUGAAAUCCCGGGGCUCAACCCCGGAACUGCCUUCGAUACUGGCAGCCUUGAGUUCGAGAGAGGUGAGUGGAAUUCCGAGUGUAGAGGUGAAAUUCGUAGAUAUUCGGAGGAACACCAGUGGCGAAGGCGGCUCACUGGCUCGAUACUGACGCUGAGACGCGAAAGCGUGGGGAGCAAACAGG